AACUCAUUCAAACUCCCAAGAGUUUUACAGGAAGCAAGAAGAAAAUGACACAAGGAGGGGGUUGUGUCAGCCAGCUCUUGAAAAUAGUCUUCCAUAGGGAAAGCCAUUGGUCAGCCAGGAAGACGAUCAAGCAGCAGGAGCCUGUGACUAAGAAUUCUGACCUUCAGAAUUUCUGAGCGGCCUCCUGGAAAGAUCAGGAGUGAGAAUAUCAGCUGUGAAAAGAAGAUCAGGGAUGUGCUAGGAUUUCAGAUGGACGAGGGGAGAUAGAGGUAGAGGAAGAAGUCAUAAAUCUCCUUAGAGCUUAGGCGAUCAGUAGGCAGCAAAGAGGAGGAUCCUUACACAGUAUUUCAACCACCAGCAACCCAAAGGCAGCAUGAAGAAUUUGCUCUGAGGACCACAUUGCCACAUCUGUACCCUCAGUCAGUUUCCAGGUCAAAAGCAUUUCUAUACACGCCUUGUGUUUUGAGCUUCACCCCAACACUGUGAGUCAGGAAUUCCCUUUUGAGAGAUAAGAAUCUUGAGGCCCAGAAACCUUGGAUGAGCUGAGAAUUCUGUGUGAGAUAACGCUGGGGGAAUAGCCACAUGUUGCUGCAAUGUGGUCGUUGUCCUUGAGUUUAGACUUCUUUCUUAAUUGCCUCAUGAAAUUGGACUAUAUCCUGAAGAUCUGGAGAAGGGCAGAAGAUGUUAUCCAAUGUAUGAAAUCCUUUUAUGUUUUGUGGUUCUAUUCCAAAAGAAGUAAGAGGCAAAAAAUGCACUGCUGACAUUAAAAUUCUGUAGAGAAACUCAGUGGUGUGGACUGGCUAUGAUCUUCAAAGUUUAUUUUAAAAGAUACAGAAUGUUUUAAAAAUAAUAAGCCUCUCUACCAUAUCUAAGGCUGAUAUGCAAAUAAGAAAUUGCUUCCUCUUUCUAGUAGUGAUAACUGCUUGCCAUAUUCUUGACAGUUUAAGUGUGUUGCAUAUAUUAUCCCUUUAGCCCAAUGAAUGGAUAUUACUACUGUCCUUUUCUUAGAGAUGAGUAAUAGGAGACUGAGAGAAGUUAAGAAGCUAACCCAAGGACACGCAGCUCAAUGUGGUAGCACCGGGGUCUACACGUUUUCUGAUGCCAGAGUGUGUUUCUCUUACUCUUAAUUGCAAACUUCCAGAAACAUAACCAGUUGAUCACAUAAAUUUUUUUACUGAAAUGAAAAAAAGCCUUAUAAUUGAAGUUCAGAACUCUAACUGACUUCUCCAUCACCACGUAUACAGUUAGGGGAAGAGUCAAGGUUCAGAACUGCUGAUUUAGAAUAGCCUUAAGACUGAACCCAGACCCCAGAACCCCUUGAACUUAGCCUAGAGAUGUAUCUGGCUUAGUGAUUCUUGAUGAGAAAAAUGGGAGGUUGAUGCAAUAGUCAUUUCUCAAUAAGCAAGGAACAGUUACAUUGUACAAAAACUUACAGCAAAUAGGAUCAGCCUACUUGCUGCCAAAAAAGAGCAUUCACUCAAUUAUCCAUCAAUCAUUUUUUAGAUUGAAUAUAUAGCAUUUACUUGGAUUUUCACAAGCUUGGAGUACAAAUAAACAGAGCAAAAUAUGGGUCUCUCUCCUCACAGUGUUUAUUUGGUCCCUCAAAUACCUUCUUUCCAAGAUGCAUUUCCCCAAUAUUGGUAGAAAAGCGCAUCUAUCUUUAUAGCUCACUGAUUUCCUAUUGAUUUCUUUCCCUGAAAACCCCAUUGCCUUAGCCAUAGUCUGGCUGUGUUUGUUUGUUUGUUUGUUUUGUUUGUUUAUUUGUUUUUGGCUAGAAUGGGACUGCAGAGCUGUGACUCCAGGGAGACUGACGACUGCAGCUCUUUAACAAAUAUCUUAGACUCCUCCUUCACUAGCCUGGAUUAGCAGCUUGUCCUGAACAACUCCAGUCAAUGCCAGGCAGUGACCUCAGAGCACAGACAGGUGCCUUGAUGCCAUCAUAAGUUCAGACGCCUACACAGCAAGUCUCUUUGGACUUCCCUUGGAAUGACUUGGUCUCCACUUUGACGCCACUUGCUGGGACCCACAAUGGGCUGUGUAGAUGGAUCUCCAGUAUUUCUGUAUCUCGGGGUGGGGGUGGGGGUCGCUGAAGGGGGGAUUCCUUGGAGCGGUGAAGGAAGUGCACCUUGUUUGUUUGGCUUCCCCGAAUGCUGGGAAGGACUGCAAAGAAGCAAUCAGAUGAGAUGACCGGCCAUGAGCAGUUUCCAAUGGACUUUGCCAGGCCCAGAAGAGCUAUGACCUAACCUCUGCUUCAAGGAGACUACAAACAAAUGUAAACAAUCAGUUUCCAAGGCCGGUGUCCAGCUCCUGGUGUCCUGGUCCCCUCUGCAUUGUAAUGUAUAUCUCAGUAUCCUGGUAACUGCUGGAGCGCAGCUCUCAGUUGCUCAACAGAGCAAUCGCAGCAGAGGGCAGGGUCCAUGUGUGCACAUCUUUACACAGUUAACGAGAGCCUGCUACUUCCAAUAACUCGCUCAAUAUCUAUGGUGCUAUUUAAAGGAACACUGUGUGAUUCUUACGUCACAGAUGAAGGUAGUAAAGUACAGAGUUAGUGGCAGAACUGGGGCUGGAUGCUAAAUCUAUCAACCACCAGAAUAAUUCUUCAUGUUCUGCUUUAGGACAAGAGGAGAUCAUGAACGUGAAAGGAAGACCUUCCUUGAGAGUUGUGUGUAAGGCUGAAGUUUAUGUUCCUCCUCUGAACAAACACAGAAGAUAAGAAUUUGCUCUCCAAGACUGAACUGCAUGAAGUCAAUCACUACUUCUUCAUGUGGCGUUGGAGAGACUCUCUCAUCCCUUCUACCCUGCGUGUAAAGAUUCAGGAGAUUUCCAUGUACAGAGAGUACCCGCUGUGUUGCAGGCCUGCAGCAUGGAUGGGAUGAGCCUGGUCUGGCCUGCACAGUCAACAAAUGCCUGUCUCUUUCCUUCCUCUCUCCAGUGAUGCCUUCCAGCCCACAGCCCUCCAACAGACCUCACUCAAGGGCUGUGCAGAACCUGGGAGCAUAAAGGAGCCCAGCUAGUCCAAGCAGCUACAAGCAGCUUCUGGUGAUGCGGACGAGACCAGGAUGCUCGUGCUGGAUGAGAAGGGAGUGCCCAGGUCGGGAAGAGCCACACAGUCAACGAUUUGGGAUCUCAUUCUCCAGGCUGCACCAUGUCCACUAUCCUACUUAUUGGUCACGGGAGGCUAUUUAAAUCCAUUAAAAUUAAAAAUAAGUUUUUCAGUGUCACGAGCCUUGUUUCCAGUGCUCCAUAGCCACAGGUGUCUGAUGUCCAUCACACUAAGUGGUGCAGACAGAGACUAAUUCCAUCAUCACCCAAGGUUGCUCUGGACCAUGGGGGUCACUGACGGUUUGUGACAUGGAGAGUUAGAGGAAUAGACGUGUUUCACAAAGUGUGAAGGCCUGGCUACAGGGGGAAGAUGCUCCAGGCAAACAGUCAUCUGAAAGUCUGUUAGAUUCCUCUAGGUGGUUUCGAUGGGGACUGGGGCUGUCCUUCUGUUACUCCAGGUCAACUUUGGUGACUGUGGAUAAGAGAAGUGAGCUGGGAGUAAGCUCUGACUUCAAACCUGAAAGCAUUUUCCCCCUUGGAGUUUUGCCUUCAGGACUUAAUGGGCUCAAGUGCUAUCCUGGAGUUCCAAAUGCCCAGUGUCUUUUUUCCGCCUGCCUUCUUAGGUAGUGUCAGAUCCUGAGUCUAAGCCCCAUCAGCAAGAAUGGAAACCCAGACUGCCUGGGUUCAAAUCCUCCUGUGAUGCUUGUGGACUGUAUGAUUUUGUGAAAGUUUAAAACUUUGAUCUUCUUCUGUUUCUUCAUUUGUAAAAUAAGA